AGAGUUUGAUCAUGGCUCAGGAUGAACGCUAGCUACAGGCUUAACACAUGCAAGUCGAGGGGCAGCAUGGUCUUAGCUUGCUAGGGCCGAUGGCGACCGGCGCACGGGUGAGUAACACGUAUCCAACCUGCCGUCUACUCUUGGACAGCCUUCUGAAAGGAAGAUUAAUACAAGAUGGCAUCAUGAGUCCGCAUGUUCACAUGAUUAAAGGUAUUCCGGUAGACGAUGGGGAUGCGUUCCAUUAGAUAGUAGGCGGGGUAACGGCCCGCCUAGUCUUCGAUGGACAGGGGUUCUGAGAGGAAGGUCCCCCACAUUGGAACUGAGACACGGUCCAAACUCCUACGGGAGGCAGCAGUGAGGAAUAUUGGUCAACGGGCGAGAGCCUGAACCAGCCAAGUAGCGUGAAGGAUGACUGCCCUAUGGGUUGUAAACUUCUUUUAUAGAGGAAUAAAGUCGGGUAUGCAUACCCGUUUGCAUGUACUUUAUGAAUAAGGAUCGGCUAACUCCGUGCCAGCAGCCGCGGUAAUACGGAGGAUCCGAGCGUUAUCCGGAUUUAUUGGGUUUAAAGGGAGCGUAGAUGGAUGUUUAAGUCAGUUGUGAAAGUUUGCGGCUCAACCGUAAAAUUGCAGUUGAUACUGGAUAUCUUGAGUGCAGUUGAGGCAGGCGGAAUUCGUGGUGUAGCGGUGAAAUGCUUAGAUAUCACGAAGAACUCCGAUUGCGAAGGCAGCCUGCUAAGCUGCAACUGACAUUGAGGCUCGAAAGUGUGGGUAUCAAACAGGAUUAGAUACCCUGGUAGUCCACACGGUAAACGAUGAAUACUCGCUGUUUGCGAUAUACAGCAAGCGGCCAAGCGAAAGCGUUAAGUAUUCCACCUGGGGAGUAUGCCGGCAACGGUGAAACUCAAAGGAAUUGACGGGGGCCCGCACAAGCGGAGGAACAUGUGGUUUAAUUCGAUGAUACGCGAGGAACCUUACCCGGGCUUAAAUUGCAGAUGAAUUACGGUGAAAGCCGUAAGCCGCAAGGCAUCUGUGAAGGUGCUGCAUGGUUGUCGUCAGCUCGUGCCGUGAGGUGUCGGCUUAAGUGCCAUAACGAGCGCAACCCUUGUUGUCAGUUACUAACAGGUUCUGCUGAGGACUCUGACAAGACUGCCAUCGUAAGAUGUGAGGAAGGUGGGGAUGACGUCAAAUCAGCACGGCCCUUACGUCCGGGGCUACACACGUGUUACAAUGGGGGGUACAGAGGGCCGCUACCACGCGAGUGGAUGCCAAUCCCCAAAACCUCUCUCAGUUCGGACUGGAGUCUGCAACCCGACUCCACGAAGCUGGAUUCGCUAGUAAUCGCGCAUCAGCCACGGCGCGGUGAAUACGUUCCCGGGCCUUGUACACACCGCCCGUCAAGCCAUGGGAGCCGGGGGUACCUGAAGUGCGUAACCGCGAGGAGCGCCCUAGGGUAAAACUGGUGACUGGGGCUAAGUCGUAACAAGGUA
rnacentral:rRNA from 1 species